rnacentral:rRNA from 1 species
AUGGCGGCAUGGAGGCCGCGGCGGUGCAGGGCAAUAAGACGCGGCGGCGAGCCGGGCGCGACCGGUGCGUGUUAUGGGUGCGCACUGGACGUGUCGGGCGCGUCGGGACCGCGGGAAUGGACCGCGUCGAGGCGCUGGACCUGGUUGCGCAGAUCGUGUACGUGCGCGGCGGGAGCGCGGGGACGUGGGGAGUGCGCGCGAAGGGCACGGCGGUCGCGGAGACGAGGAGGUCGCGAAGGACCUGCGUGGUGGCGCAGAGGUCGCGACGGCUCGGGGCGACAACCGUGGAAGGUGCGUGGCACGGAGGCGUGGCGUGACGGCUGCCAGGGCGGACGCGGAGGCGGCACGCGGUGA